rnacentral:tRNA from 3 species
GCUUCUUUAGCUCAGUUGGGAGAGCAGCUCACUUGUAAUGAGCAGGUCGUCCGUUCGAAUCGGACAAGGAGCACCA